GACGAACGCUGGCGGCGUGCCUAAUACAUGCAAGUCGAGCGGAUCUUCAUUAGCUUGCUUUUGAAGAUCAGCGGCGGACGGGUGAGUAACACGUGGGCAACCUGCCUGUAAGGCUGGGAUAACUUCGGGAAACCGGAGCUAAUACCGGAUAAUCCUUUUCCUCUCAUGAGGAAAAGCUGAAAGACGGUUUCGGCUGUCACUUACAGAUGGGCCCGCGGAGCAUUAGCUAGUUGGUGAGGUAACGGCUCACCAAGGCGACGAUGCGUAGCCGACCUGAGAGGGUGAUCGGCCACACUGGGACUGAGACACGGCCCAGACUCCUACGGGAGGCAGCAGUAGGGAAUCUUCCGCAAUGGACGAAAGUCUGACGGAGCAACGCCGCGUGAGCGAUGAAGGCCUUCGGGUCGUAAAGCUCUGUUGUCAGGGAAGAACAAGUACCGGAGUAACUGCCGGUACCUUGACGGUACCUGACCAGAAAGCCACGGCUAACUACGUGCCAGCAGCCGCCGUAAUAC
rnacentral:rRNA from 1 species